rnacentral:rRNA from 1 species
CCUACGGGAGGCUGCAGUGAGGAAUAUUGGUCAAUGGCCGGAAGGCUGAACCAGCCAUGCCGCGUGAAGGUCAGUGCCCCAUGGGCGUUAAACUUCUUUUGUGCGGGAGCAAUAAUGGUCACGUGUGGCCAGACGAGAGUACUGUACGAAUAAGCAUCGGCUAACUCCGUGCCAGCAGCCGCGGUAAUACGGGGGAUGCAAGCGUUAUCCGGAUUUAUUGGGUUUAAAGGGUGCGUAGGCUGUGAGGUAAGUCAGCGGUGAAAUGCCCCCGCUCAACGGGGUGAAGUGCCAUUGAUACUGCCUGGCUGGAAUGCGGAUGCCGUGGGAGGAAUGUGUGGUGUAGCGGUGAAAUGCAUAGAUAUCACACAGAACACCGAUUGCGAAGGCAUCUCACGAAUCCGCGAUUGACGCUGAUGCACGAAAGCGUGGGUAUCAAACAGGAUUAGAUACCCGGGUAGUC